CAAGUCGAACGAAUCCCAUCUGGGCAACUGGGGUGGGGGAAGUGGCGAAAGGGGCAGUAAAGCGUGGGUAACCUACCCCGGGGAUCGGGAUAGCCGUCCUAACNGACGGGUAAUACCGGGCGAUCUGGCGAGGAGGCAUCUUCUUGCCAGGAGAUGAGUUUCGCCUCGGGAGGGGCUCACGUAGUAUUAGCUUGUUGGCGGGGUAACGGCCCACCAAGGCCAAGAUGCUUAGCGGGUGUGAGAGCACGACCCGCGCCACUGGCACUGAGACACUGGCCAGACUCCUACGGGAGGCUGCAGUCGAGGAUCUUCGGCAAUGGGCGCAAGCCUGACCGAGCGACGCCGCGUGUGCGAUGAAGGCCUUCGGGUUGUAAAGCACUGUCGAGGGGGAGAAAAGCCGGGAAACCGGUCUGAUCUAUCCCUGGAGGAAGCACGGGCUAAGUUCGUGCCAGCAGCCGCGGUAAGACGAACCGUGCGAACGUUGUUCGGAUUCACUGGGCUUAAAGGGCGCGUAGGCGGACCAUCAAGUCAGGGGUGAAAUCUUUCAGCUUAACUGGAAACGUGCCUCUGAUACUGGUGGUCUCGAGGGAGGCAGGGGCAUGCGGAACUUCCGGUGGAGCGGUGAAAUGCGUUAGAUAUCGGAAGGAACGCCGGUGGCGAAAGCGGCGUGCUGGACCUCUUCUGACGCUGAGGCGCGAAAGCUAGGGGAGCGAACCGGAUUAGAUAC
rnacentral:rRNA from 1 species